AUUUCUUAGCAUAAAUAUAAAGUGAAUGCUUUACCUUGGGAGUAUCGAUCACAGGAUGCUAGGAUUUCAGACAGGUAUCUGGAGCUGCAGGUAAAAGUUAGUUCCUAGUUUCUCUCUCUCUAAAUUUCUCUCUUGAGUCAAAGUCUGCUUCCAUUGCAGGAUCAGUGACCAAGAUUGGAUAGGCUUCCAUGAAUCAAAACUUAAUGGUGGUUGCCACCAAGUCCUGUUCAGACUCAUCCUAAUUAAACAAUAGAUCUUACUUUUUUUUUAAUUUAUUUAUUUAUUUAUUUUAUUUAUUUUUUUUUAAAUAUUCUAUAACUAAUCUAGGGUCGAAAUCUAGAGAGAGAAAAUGUGAUAAAUAAUCUAAACCAGGCGUUACCUUCUAGACCUAUCUGAAGAAUCCGAUCCCAUGUAUACCAAGCCCCAAGACAAGCGGUUAUGUCAGGUUUAGUGUUGGAAAUCAGCUUUGGUUACUUCAUACGGUACAAGGCAAGUGUGUAGUUGAUAGGUUUAUCUGCUUUAGCAUCUUUAGUGCUAUCUGCAAUCAGUAAAUCUAAAAUGGUGCUAAAGAUUGGUUAGAUAUCAAUAUAAGACUAUAGUCCCUAUUUUCGAUAGCUAAGCAUAAUUUAUUUGAAAUUCCUUUUUACGUAAGAAUAAAAUAAAUUAUAUCAGUAAAUCUCCCCCCAGACUUAAAUU
rnacentral:lncRNA from 1 species